AAAAUAUCGAUGAAAGAGCGAGUAGGUUUCUGAGACUUUACAAGAGAGGAUCAUCUGGGCUGAGAAUGAUCUAAAGGGGCGAUUCUGAAAGACACUCUGGAGAUGAACGUGUAAAAAGCCGUUCCGUGUACGAGCGUUAAUCGUAAGAGGAAAGAGCAAUCUUUCAAAAUUAGGUGGUACCGUGUAUGAAUUAGUCAUUCGCCCUUGUU
rnacentral:ncRNA from 1 species